rnacentral:hammerhead_ribozyme from 1 species
AUCCAGCUGACGAGUCCCAAAUAAGACGAAAUGUACAUCCUGGAU